CUGCGUGUGUGUGUGUGUGUGUGUGUGUGUGUGUGUGUGUGUGUGUGGCGGGGGCAAUAACAAAGCCCUCCCUCCAUGCCCCACCCA
rnacentral:miRNA from 1 species